rnacentral:rRNA from 1 species
UGGGGAAUUUUGGACAAUGGGGGAAACCCUGAUCCAGCCAUCCCGCGUGUGCGAUGAAGGCCUUCGGGUUGUAAAGCACUUUUGGCAGGAAAGAAACGUCAUGGGUUAAUACCCCGUGAAACUGACGGUACCUGCAGAAUAAGCACCGGCUAACUACGUGCCAGCAGCCGCGGUAAUACGUAGGGUGCAAGCGUUAAUCGGAAUUACUGGGCGUAAAGCGUGCGCAGGCGGUUCGGAAAGAAAGAUGUGAAAUCCCAGAGCUCAACUUUGGAACUGCCUUUUUAACUACCGGGCUAGAGUGUGUCAGAGUGAGGUGGAAUUCCGCGUGUAGCAGUGAAAUGCGUAGAUAUGCGGAGGAACACCGAUGGCGAAGGCAGCCUCCUGGGAUAACACUGACGCUCAUGCACGAAAGCGUGGGGAGCAAACAGG